rnacentral:rRNA from 1 species
AUGAAAAUUGUAAGUUGGAACUGCCGGGGACUGGGGAAUGGCCCGGCGGUUCGUUCUCUUCUCGACCUGGGAAGAGUGGAGGAGCCCGACAUUCUGUUUUUGUGCGAGACUAGGUUGGAGGAGAAGGAGUUGGGUCGUUUUAGAUGGCUGCUAGGGCUCACCCAAAUGUGCUCUUGGAAGGGGGAGGGGAGGAGUCGAGGGGUGGCAAUGUUUUGGAGGAAGGAGGUGGAUGUUACGUUGAGAUCGUUCGGGAGAAGGCACAUUGACAUUGAUGUAAGGAGGGAUGAUGGAUUGGUCUGGAGGCUUACUGGUGUGUACGGCGAGUCGAAGAUGGACAGGAAGAAAGAAACAUGGCGAAUGAUGCGCCUCCUGAAACAGCAACACCAGGGUGGAAGGCCUUGCCUUUGCCUUGUUGAUUUCAAUGAGAUCUUGACAAGUAUGGAGAAAGCAGGAGGGGCAGCCCGGCCACAACACUACCUGGACAGGGAAGCGCUACAAAUCUGCGGGCUGGGUGAUAUUGGCUUCGAGGGGGACAUUUUCACUUGGAGGAACCACAGUAAGGAACUACGAACAUAUAUUUGCAAGAGGUUGGAUAGGGCCACAUCGAAUUAG